rnacentral:rRNA from 1 species
GACGAACGCUGGCGGCGUGCCUAAUACAUGCAAGUUGAGCGAUGAAGAUUGGUGCUUGCACCAAUUUGAAGAGCAGCGAACGGGUGAGUAACGCGUGGGGAAUCUGCCUUUGAGCGGGGGACAACAUUUGGAAACGAAUGCUAAUACCGCAUAACAACUUUAAACAUAAGUUUUAAGUUUGAAAGAUGCAAUUGCAUCACUCAAAGAUGAUCCCGCGUUGUAUUAGCUAGUUGGUGAGGUAAAGGCUCACCAAGGCGAUGAUACAUGGCCGACCUGAGAGGGUGAUCGGCCACAUUGGGACUGAGACACGGCCCAAACUCCUACGGGAGGCAGCAGUAGGGAAUCUUCGGCAAUGGACGAAAGUCUGACCGAGCAACGCCGCGUGAGUGAAGAAGGUUUUCGGAUCGUAAAACUCUGUUGGUAGAGAAGAACGUUGGUGAGAGUGGAAAGCUCAUCAAGUGACGGUAACUACCCAGAAAGGGACGGCUAACUACGUG